AAGGCUGUUCUAGUGGCAGUGAGGCUGGCUGUACAUGUCCAUGUCAGUCACCGCGCCUGGCCCCACUUUCCUCUCAUUUCUAAGUGUACUUUUGUGGCAUUUAAACAGCCGAUGGUGACAUUGGUGUUGAGCGGUGUUGCUUCCACAGCCCACACUGAAGGCAUUGGGAGGGACCCAGGAGGGCACAAGGUGUUUUAAGACCCUUUCCCACCUGCCAAACACCUUUUGCUGUUGGCUUUUGGUUUUAUUUUGUUUUGCGAAACAGGGGAAUAGUGACUUAAGGACUCGGCUUUCUGCCUUGUGCCUUGUGCCAGAGAGCCACAGUACACUGCUUUUAUUUUAUUUUUUGGUAAGACUUGCAGUGAGAAGGACUGAGAGAUAGCUUUCUUUAAAAAAAAAACAUUUCCUUUUCUUUUAAAUAGAUAAGUGAUCAUUUAACACACGGGUGUUAAGUUCAUUCUUGCUGCAAAAGAAGGCUAUUGUAUCUCCUGACCCUGAAAGCAAGAUGAAGUCACUGAGACACCAAAGGUUAAUUGCUUGCCCAAAGCCAUGUGGCAACUUGAACUGUGUCUCUUUAAAUCUACUGAGGAAGAUAUUCCUUCUGGCCCACAGGAUGCCAAAAUGACUUGGUGAUUUAUUUAUGCAGCACUUGGCAGCCUAUAGUCCAGAUUGUGGCUGAAGCUGAAUUUUAUGAGCCUUCCCCUAGAAGUAUUCGAAACCCAGGGGAUUGUGGUGAAAAAGACAAACACUGCCCCGUCUCGCCCGGAACAGACAUUUCAGAGGAGGGAGAUGGAUGAUAAAUAGGACAUCAUGAGGAUUAAAUGAGGAAAAAUAAAAACCAGCACACAGCAUCUCCUAAGUGCUCAAAACUGCAAGCUCUCUUACCUCUUGACGCUUGAGGACCUUGCCUUCUAAAUACAUCUCCGUCUCAUACAUCACUUCAAGUCACAGAAAUAUUUUUUUCUCCUGUGCCUGGGAAGAAGUGCUGAGUGGACAGCCCUGGUGGCUUCUGUUUAUACUGUGAGCAACUGAGACACAAAUCAGUACCAGGGUUAUCUUGAUUUCUGCCUGGAAUAAUAUUGUCCUGCAAGGACCCACUCUGGGGACCCAGAAGGUGAUAUACCCCUUUCUAUCACAGGACACUGGAUUUUGUGGAUGCUCCUUGGACAUACUGGAAUGCACCUUGGGUAGCCCAUGGAUCAUUUUCCCCAGUAUGAAGCAUGGGAGGGCUGGAAAAUGAGCUCAUGAGCUGGUGGAGCCAGCACAACAAGCUGGAGCCAGGCUAACCAGGACAUUUCUUCUCAUGGCAGAAGCAGAAGAAGGGCCAGCCCAUCUACAUAAGCACAUUUGCAGGCUCUGCUUAUAUCAAGUCUACUAGUAUUCUAUCGAGCCAAGCAAGUCACAGGGCCAAACCCCACGUCAAUGAAGCAGAGGUACCGCCUCCAUGGAGGGACAAAGAUAUCCUUUUUAGCCACGUGUUUAAUUCUUCAAUGUCAAUAUUUGCAGAAAACAUAAGCACAGCAUGAUAUUGCCUUGGAGUUGUUGAUUAAUCCCAUUCGGAAGCUUCGGAGUCUGGCUGGGCUGUUAUCUUGUGCUCCCUGGAACUCUGACUGGAUGAUUUCUGAAGUCGAGCUGGAGCCCAGCUAGAGGGAAGGUGAAACUUCCCGUCAGCAUGCAGGGCCUUCUGCACCCACGCUGCCACAGCCACCGCAUUACCAGCUCCUGCCAGUCUGAGGAGCAAGAGGCUGGCAUGAAGAAUCAGUUCCAUUCUUUCCUCCCUAAAUUUAGAAAAAGCCUGUUUUGUAAAGCUUUCUUCAGUGUUUCAAGACAAAAAAAAAAAAAAAAAAAAAAAAAAAAGCAGUUGCACAACAUGCAUAUCUUCUCCUGGCCUGCAGCUCCAAGUAUAGUUUUACUAUGGAUAUGCAGCUGGGAGCGAGUGUCCAGCCAACAGCCCGUGUCUCAGGCCCUGCCAGGGGAUGAAUCAAUUAGCAAGAGAAGCAAUGAUGCAAAUACUCCGAGGUCACUUGGGAUGCUGUUUGCCUUUUUGAUAGAGAAAGCACGCCAUAAAUAACAUCACACCUCAGGAAAUCAUUCCAGGAGGCCUCGAUGCCGGCAGGGCUGCUGCCGGGGACGGAAGGAAUCGUUUGCUCAUUGUGUCUACUUCCCCUAGCUCAGUCAAUGGGAGAUUUGUAGUAAAAUCAAAGUAUUUAAAAGGAGGACAGUUGUGGUAACAGAGGCAUGUUUAGUAAUUUUUUUAGUACCAGAACCUGUGAUUUAUGACCCAGAGUUACAGCCAACUUUAUUACAAAAAUGACUUCACCCAUAAUAACCUUAUUCAGGGCCCUCUGGAGAAUGAUGUAGUACCCAACAGCGUUAUAAUCUAGCAAAUAUUCAAACACAGUUCCCGCCUCCGCCUCAUUUUCAACCAACCCCUCAGAAGCAGGCUUCCCCCUUUACCUGCUGGGAGAAGUGGGGUCCCGGGCAAGGCUUUGUGCUCUGUGUGUGGGAGUUUGCCUGGAUCAAGCAUUUCUACUAAGCCAGGAUAGAAAGCCGCCUCCUGGGGUCUCAGUCAUAUCUUGUCCAACCUUGUGCCCUGAGGAGUAAUGAGCAGAAGACACCCACUCACCCUUCAUUUCCUCUCUGUGCUGAAACUUCUUCCUUCCCUGUGUUCCCGCACUCCUCCAGAGCUCAGAUCCCCACCCCCUGAAAGGAGCUCCAGUAAGCUCCCUGACAUUUUUAAUUGCCAUGGUAACUGAGGGCUGCUCUAAAACCACCAGGGCUGGGUGUCCAAGCAGGGUCCCCUGGGCGUACCGGGAUCUAGGAACUAGCCCUCCAUCUUAUUAAAUUCCAGUGUCAGUUCCUAGCAAUUGUUUUAAAUUUACACCCUCAGAGUGGCUUAGUGGGAUUACAUGUCCAUUUGCAUUAAAACAGGUUUCUGUCAUUAAACUGCCAUACAAUAAGCUUCCUUGGGACAAAUUAAUGAGCUCUAAAUAUCAUCAAGUAGAAGUUCACUUCAAGACAGGGCAACAAGGAGGGGGGCGGAAGGAAGUGGCUGCUCAGAAUCUCAUGGCCCAGGAGAACCAUAAGUGCCAAGUAAAGAAGGGUCUUGUCCCGUUUCUUCACUGUACGAUAAGUGGUCCUGAUUUAGAGUCAACUGGGGAGAUUUGGCGAUAUUCUCCCUAUUCGCCAAAAUCCUAUAGCUCAUCUUCUCUUGUGCCCUCUUCCAAAUAUGACUUUACCCUUGACUUUGCUGAAAUUUGCUGAUGCAACACUGGCCUCUUGUCUCAGUGACAGUGUCUCAGCCUCGUUUUCUUUGUCCUGUUGUUCCUCUGUCCUUGAGGAACUUGUGUGCAUCCACGUGGCCUGGGAACAACACGCACACAACGCAGCACCACGUGUAGCUUGAACGAGUGCUCCCUAACUUUGUUAGUUCCCACAUACUUUGCUAAAAUGCAUGUAUGAUUGCUACUGAACUGUCUGGUCCUCAGACCUUAUCAGGACCCUGGAACAGGAGUCCUGAUCAGGACCACCUUUCCUAGUCAUCAGGAGCAGAAUAGGAACAGGGAACAGUUUCGCUUUUAAAACUGAAUUUGUCCUGCUCACAAGAAUCACCAGAGCUUGUCCUCACAAAUAAUAUGUGUGUCUAAGUAGAAAUUUUUCAUUAAAACCAAAUAAACCCCCAAACCUUCCCUUAUGUAAAGGAGAUAAGAAUGGCUGCUAGACAGACUUCUUGAUCCACAGAGGCUGUGAUCUCAUUUCUGUGUAGCCUUAACAGGGGACAGUAAUGUAUGAUUGAGACACUGCUAUAUUUAGGAAUGACAAGAUGAGCAUUAUUAAUAGCUUAAUUGACAUUAAGGCAAUUACCCCUACCCUUAUUACAGUUUGUAGAAUUACACAGAAAAUAUUGGCUGGGGCCUUUUUUUCCCUAGAGCUACCCAAGGAUACAGCAUUUUAUUUCAUGCCAGAUCCCAGCUUUGACAUUAGAUACUUAGCCAUAGAAUGAUUCCAGUAAAUCAUUAUAAAUGCAUUAUAAUAAAGAUGUUAUGAGCUAUCAGAUAUUAACCCCCAACCCCUAAAGAGAGAUAAAUAGUCCAGUUGCAUGAUUCCCACUUUUGUUUCAUAAGAAAUAAGCUUUUGCAAAGAGCAACUGACUAAUGAAUUAUAAAAUGGUGUGUUGAGCUCAGAUAAUUAAACAAUGCAUUUUAGUGUCUAGUGCAGGAUGAACACUAAAUCAUACACAAAUAAAAAAGGUAAAAAUCUGAGCCCCAAGCCUAACUCCUAUUUUUGAAUAACAUUAAGGUUGGUCUACAGUCCAGAAAUGCUUCAACUAUUUUAUCUGAUUAGAGGGGCAUAUCAAGUAUAAGAUCAAGGCACAGUAGGUAAACCAAACCAAGAGUCAGAACAAAAACUGUGAAGGUGCUAAUUUCAGAUAAGCCCUCAAGGUUAUUUUAAUGGAGAUUUUACAUGGAGAUUGCUUUUUCCCCCAAAGUGUUAAUGGGGCAAAAGUCUAGAAGGACCUGGAAGUUUUCAAGUUUCCUUAUACUUUAUGUUUUCUUUGAACUCAUAAUAAAGCAUAUUAGUGGGAACAGGAUCUAUGGUAUUGGUGGUGGUCUUAGCCUUAUAGUGUUGGAAAGACAAAUGCACAUCCUAAAAUCUUCUCUAGGUUGUGGAGGUGCAGGGAUGAGGAGGGGUUGGUUUGGGUUUCAACCAUUAUCCCCAGGUGGUGUUAUCACACCCAGCAAUAAUUCAUCUAGUGGUCAACCACAGAUCACCAUGACAUUUUCACCAGUGGUCCCCAGACAGGGCUGGUUUGCCAUUGGCUGCCAUUUCCUGGCAUGUCAUAGAUUUGCUGCGUGAUUUGAAGCCGUGCUUAAGCACAUCCUGAAUACAUUUUUUAGUCUUCCAGCAUCUCAAAGACAUGGUGACCACCUCAAGGUAGUCUCCUAUUUCUUCGUCAAAUAGCACGUCAUUAAGGACUGUGUGGCCAAAAUUACAGAUGGUCUUGGACUCUGUAUGGGCAAUGACCACCUGUGCUGGUAACCAAGGCUUCCCUGGAACACCUGGAAACAUACCAUGCAGCCAGUCCUCUCCUGUGCUCCAGUCAAGCUGAACCACACAGCCCGAUCCUCCCUCCACUUCCCUAGCUCCAUGUGUUAGCCACUGCAGGUUAAUUGAUCUAAGGCUUAUUUUCUUCAAAUAUAAAAUGAAGAUAGUAAUGCCUACCCAUAGGGUUGUGUGAACAUUAAAUGAGAUCAGUUAUGUAAAGAUCUAUGCAGUGCCUUUUACAGAGUAUGCCCACAAAUAAAUGUUACCUGUUUCAUUUUAGUUAUCUAUGUUUAGCUAUCUUUGUUUUUCCUAUCCUGCUUCUUUUUGCUCCACUAUACUCUUACAUCCUAAUUCUCUCAUACACACUUUGCUGUGUCUAGCACAGUGCUUUGCUUGUGGUGCACACUCUACAUGCUUGCUACCCUGAACAAUAUGACGGCAGUUACUAGUAACAGUUAAUGUUUUCUGACCACCUACAUGAGCCAGGCACUAUGCUAAGUAUCAUCGCUUCCUUUAAUUCUCACAAGCAUAUGAGACAAAUACUAUUUUAAUCCUCAUCUAUGGGAGAUUAAAGAUUAAAGAUGUUCUAUAACUUGCCCAAGGUCACACAGGCUCUUAAGUGGAUUGUCAAGAUCCAAACUCAGAACUGGUCUGGAUUUGAAAUCUCAGUUCUUAACUGGCACUGCGUCAGGCUGAUUUGUUAGCUUUUUCCUCUUUUAGACUGGGCCCUAAGGGAUCAGUCAUAAGCAUGUACCCACUCUUAGAUGAAUGACCCUACGAUCUUGAGUUUUUUUUUUUUUUUGAAGUUCCAGGAAGUCCAGAAGUGUAUGCUAACUCUAGUUUAUAGCUGUGCAAAAGUCACUUGUCUAAAAACUUCAGGGACAUUAUAUAAAACCAUCCAAAAAAAAAAACCUUAUUGCACACCCCAUAAAGUUAAUUUCACUUUGAAAGAAUGUGUUUGAGGGAACGGAUGCACUUGGCUAUGAAUUCAGGUUGGUGGCCACAAUAUAUGGAGCUGUGCUGUCAUCCUUGACACCCUGGCUUACUGGCAGCCUCGCUCCAACACACUGUCACAGGCGAGGGAUGGCCUCCCAGUAUUGACUCAGAACACUGAAGCCUCCUAAUGGUCCAAGUCUCACAAACCACACACCUCCCUUAAUUAAAAAAGUAAAUUAAAAGGAGUAUUUCAUCUUAGGGAUGAAUUAUCUUAGUAAUUUAAGAUUGACAUUUUAUUGGAUAAAAGGGCAUGCAUGAGUUUAUUUUAAAAUACUGCCUUCAUGAACAAGAAACCACAGAAAAGAUUAUCCUGAGGUUGCAAGGGGUUUGUAGAACCAGAGACACUCUCGCAAAAUAGCCACUGGAAGGGCUAGGUGUGAGAGGCCAGUUGCUGCAAAUCACAGGUCAGCCACUUCUACACUUGUCCUUCAAGCACAUCAACUGGACACUUGGAGUUUUCUAUACUCUUCAUUUCAAACUUGAUCAUCCUGAGUGCUGUGGUGGACACUACUAGUGUCACAAAGAGUGCAGCACCCUCUCCUUCCAGGUAUAUAAAGGCUGCACUGCUGGGCUCCUUUACAGUUGGACAGGCCAUGUAAUUUGUCUGUUGUAGUGAAGAGUUACUAUGUUUCACUUCUAAGCCAAAGCAUUUGAUUGUCAAUGUAAUACCCUCCAGCUCUCUCCUUCCCUGCAGAAGUGAUCUUGGAAGCAUGUGUUGAGAUGACAGAGUUCCCAAUAGCCUAGAUUCCUGAAUGACUUAGUGGAGCUGAGUCCUCCACAGGUCCAUGUUGAACAUGCAGAAUGAGUGAGAAUAAACUUUUGCUGGAUUAAGUCA